AUUUUGGGCAAUGGGCGAAAGCCUGACCCAGCAACGCCGCGUGAGGGAUGAAGGCCUUCGGGUCGUAAACCUCUGUCGGGAGGGACGAAAGGUCGGCGGUCGAAUAGGCCGAAGGCUUGACGGUACCUCUAGAGGAAGCGCCGGCUAACUCCGUGCCAGCAGCCGCGGUAAUACGGAGGGCGCAAGCGUUGUUCGGAAUUACUGGGCGUAAAGCGCGUGUAGGCGGCCAGGUAAGUCGGAUGUGAAAGCCCGGGGCCCAACCCCGGAACUGCACCCGAUACUGCCUGGCUGGAGUCCCGGAGAGGAUGGCGGAAUUUCCGGUGUAGAGGUGAAAUUCGUAGAUAUCGGAAGGAACACCAGUGGCGAAGGCGGCCAUCUGGACGGUGACUGACGCUGAGACGCGAAAGCGUGGGGAGCAAAC
rnacentral:rRNA from 1 species